rnacentral:sRNA from 1 species
AUGCCUCCGAUAGAGAGGGAGAGAGAGAGAGACAGAGCGAGAGAGAGAGGGAUGGGGAUCCUGGCAUGGGUGAGUGGAAGGGAGACAGUGAGAGAAAGAGAGAGGGAGGGGUUGGAUGGUGAACAGAGCCGAGUAAGGUCCCCUCAGUUCAUGAAUCACUCUGGAUCGUCCAUUCCCUUUUGCAUGUCGGAUCAAUGGCUAGAUUUCGAAAGCUAAGUUCCAUUUUUUAUUCCAAUCUUUGCUGUUAGCAUAGAUGUGAACUGUUGGGUUAGGUUUUGGGGGUUCCUUUGUUUCGUUUUCUCUCAUUUUCUCUCAUUUUGGGGAUGCAUCUCUCUGUUCUGUGCAUUGUCUUCUGUUUUAAGUUGCAAGGUAUAGGUGCAUUGAGACCUAAAAAUAUUUGCGUGAACUUCAUAAAUUUUUCUGAGGCUCCGAUCCUUGAAAGGUUUUGGAUUUACUGAUCUUCGAUUCCGCCUCCCCUCUCCUCUACCUGACCCUCC